UCUAACAGUGUGCUUUUUAUUUUACAUUGAUUGUUCUGUGUGCAAUCCUCACCCUUUUGCCCUGAGAUACAUUUUUCUUACGUUGUUUUGAUGCAUUUAAUUCAUGAAAAUACAGUGGAAAUAUUUUAACAAAACCGAAGUUUGAAUUUGUUAAAUGAAUCUGAAAUGUUUGGAUAAGGAAGCAGUGUGUCAUUUUUUUUUUUUUUUUUUUUUUUUUUUUUUUGCUGUCAUUUGGAUUUAAAUUUGUCUGAGGAGUAUGGAGUCAUACAGCCCAAAAUAAGUUGUUUCCUCUCCCUUGUCCACAGUCCCCUUCCAUAAGGAGUUGGCAAGAGAUUAAACAGACUGGCACCCAGAAGUCUAGUGGAUAAUAUACAAGAAACACCUCAUGGAGAAUGUUAAAGUAGUAGAAUCUAGCGCAGAGUGUUUACGUACAGUCUAAAGCCCAGUGUAAACUUUCCAGUAACACUUUACUUAAAGCUGACAGGUAAAAUACUUUAUUAUUUGCUGAAUACAUAUAUGAUCCUUCAUAAUGUCUUUAUAAGACUUAAAAAUCCAAGGGUAGGUAGAAUGUUUUAAGAAGUAAUGUCUUCCUGGUGUGGUAAUACACAGUAUUUAGCCAAUUUAAAAGGUCUGUCCGGCACUAUACAGCACAGUUUAUAUGUUCCAUUACACAGCAAUUCUUCAAAUUUUGCAUUUCUCCAUAUGACCACAUGGUGUCAUUCUUAAUGCAGGUACUGGCAGACUUCUUCACAUGCCACAACAUUGAGUGUGGAGCUCUUAUCCAAUGUUGGAUUCUGGGGUGUGAAGAAGUGGAAUUCAUUUUGUGCACAGAAUGCUGUAGAAACCAUGUGGAACGUCUCUGAGGAAUAGUUUGGCCCCGAGCUGACAAGGUAAAAUUCUGUCGUUCUACCCACUGUUCCCCGGGCGCCGUGGAUGUCGAUUCAAGGCAGCUUCCCGCACCUCUCUGAUUCAGAGGGGUUGGGUUAAAUGUGGAAUAGACAUUUCAGUUGAAUGCAUUCAGUUGUACAACUGACUAGGUAUCCCCCUUUCCCUAUACAACUGACUAGGUGUCCCCCUUUCCCUAUACAACUGACUAGGUAUCCCCCUUUCCCUAUACAACUGACUAGGUAUCCCCCUUUCCCUAUACAACUGACUAGGUGUCCCCCUUUCCCUAUACAACUGACUAGGUAUCCCCCUUUCCCUAUACAACUGACUAGGUGUCCCCCUUUCCCUAUACAACUGACUAGGUGUCCCCCUUUCCCUAUACAACUGACUAGGUAUCCCCCUUUCCCUAUACAACUGACUAGGUAUCCCCCUUUCCCUAUACAACUGACUAGGUGUCCCCC
ensembl:lncRNA